rnacentral:tRNA from 1 species
GAGGAUGAAGCUCAAAUGGAAAGAGCGCCUGCUUCCGAGGCAGGAAGUUGCAGGUUCGAUCCCUGUCAUCCUCG